GGAGUUAGCCGGUGCUUCUUCUGUGAGUGAUGUCCUUCCUGCCGGCUAUUAACCCGCAGGCCUUCUUCCUCACUGAAAGUGCUUUACAACCCGAAGGCCUUCUUCACACACGCGGCAUGGCUGUAUCAGGGUUGCCCCCAUUGUCCAAUAUUCCCCACUGCUGCCUCCCGUAGGAGUCUGGGCCGUGUCUCAGUCCCAGUGUGGCUGAUCAUCCUCUCAGACCAGCUACGGAUCGUCGCCUUGGUGAGCCGUUACCUCACCAACCAGCUAAUCCGACAUAGGCUCAUCCGAUAGCGCGAGGCCCGAAGGUCCCCCGCUUUCCCCCGUAGGGCGUAUGCGGUAAUUAGCCUGGGUUUCCCCAGGUUAUCCCCCACUACCGGGCAGAUUCCUAUGCAUUACUCACCCGUCCGCCGCUCGCCACCAGGGAGCAAGCUCCCCGUGCUGCCGCUCGACUUGCAUGUGUUAGGCCUGCCGCCAGCGUUCAAUCUGAGCCAGGAUCAAACUCUGA
rnacentral:rRNA from 1 species